rnacentral:rRNA from 1 species
UACGAAGGGGGCGAGCGUUGUUCGGAUUUACUGGGCGUAAAGGGCGCGCAGGCGGCCUUGAAAGUCAGGCGUGAAAGCCCCGGGCUUAACCUGGGAAUUGCGCUUGAUACUCUGAGACUGGAGUACGGGAGAGGAGAGUGGAAUUCCCAGUGUAGAGGUGAAAUUCGUAGAUAUUGGGAAGAACACCAGUGGCGAAGGCGGCUCUCUGGACCGUAACUGACGCUGAGGCGCGAAAGCGUGGGGAGCAAACAGG